UCUUGUACUGGGUCCAUACUAUAGGGGUAGAACACUGCAUGGUUCGGUGUAUAUUCGCAAUUGCCAGGCAGAAUACACCAGAUCUGCCAUGUACUACGUUUGAGGUUAACUUAGGUGCCUAGUUUAGGCACUUAAGUAGUUGGGUAUGAAAUGGAUGAGUAGGAAUCCCUAAAAAAGGGCAGGAAGGACGAUUUUUUGAAUGAAGAGGGUGGGAAAAAAUAAUUGCCACUUGUGUGUAACGACAGUUGCCGCUUGUGUAUGAUGACAAUUGCCACCUAUUUUGACCUGUUGCUUGCCAUCCCUAUCUUCCAUGUGCAAGCAGCAGAAGAAUACAAUUCUUGUGGAUUAUUGAUGCCUUUUUGAUCAUCCAGUGAUUGAGAACAUGUCGGAAAAGAAUCGAGACGCGGAAAGGAUGAAUCGCGAAGGUGGCGCUGAUGCUUGGGGUUCUCAAAGGCCAGAAACACCGCCUUGGGAUGCAGCAGAGUAUAGUCAACUCAUCUCAGCAGGGCCGUUGCUGCCACUACUAGAACAGUAUGCAGGCGUAGGUUCUUAUGACCAAAACACUCUCAGGGGGGCCCCAUGGCAAGUUCAGUCACAAGGCGCUAACACUGACAUAUGUACGGGCAACCAACCUCAACUAGCUAGUAUGGCUAAUCAAGGGCCUUCAUGCAGCACGUGGCAUCAGCCAACACCCAUGUACCUGCC